rnacentral:rRNA from 1 species
CAUCAGAUGUGCCCAGAUGGGAUUAGCUAGUAGGUGGGGUAAUGGCUCACCUAGGCGACGAUCCCUAGCUGGUCUGAGAGGAUGACCAGCCACACUGGAACUGAGACACGGUCCAGACUCCUACGGGAGGCAGCAGUGGGGAAUAUUGCACAAUGGGCGCAAGCCUGAUGCAGCCAUGCCGCGUGUAUGAAGAAGGCCUUCGGGUUGUAAAGUACUUUCAGCGAGGAGGAAGGUGUUGAGGUAAUAACCUCAGCA